GACGAACGCUGGCGGCGUGCCUAAUACAUGCAAGUCGAACGAGAGCGACCGGUGCUUGCCCUGGUCAAUCUAGUGGCGAACGGGUGAGUAACACGUGGGUAACCUGCCCAUCAGAGGGGGAUAACAUCCGGAAACGGAUGCUAACACCGCAUAGGUCUUCGAACCGCAGGGUUCGAAGAGGAAAAGAGUCGCAGGCUUCUGCUGAUGGAUGGACCCGCGGUGCAUUAGCUAGUUGGUGGGGUAACGGCUCACCAAGGCCGUGAUGCAUAGCCGACCUGAGAGGGUGAUCGGCCACAUUGGGACUGAGACACGGCCCAAACUCCUACGGGAGGCAGCAGUAGGGAAUCUUCCGCAAUGGACGCAAGUCUGACGGAGCAACGCCGCGUGAGUGAAGAAGGUUUUCGGAUCGUAAAACUCUGUUGUUAGAGAAGAACAAGUGCUAGAGUAACUGUUAGCGCCUUGACGGUAUCUAAACAGAAAGCCACGGCUAACUACGUG
rnacentral:rRNA from 1 species